AUGGAAUAUUACCAAGCACCCUCCACUAUUUCGGAUAGUAUUUAUGGUUCUACCUUUUUCUUAGCAACUGGCGUUCAUGGUUUUCAUGUGAUUAUAGGUACUCUUUUCUUGAUCGUAUGUGGUAUUCGCCAAUACCUUGGUCAUCUGACCAAGAAGCAUCACGUUGGCUUUGAAGCAGCUGCAUGGUACUGA
rnacentral:rRNA from 1 species